UUGAAAUGUUUUUCACACUAAAUACAGAUUCUUUUCAGUUAGAUACAAUGAAAAUUGGAAUCAGGCUGUCUAACUGUGCUCACACUUUUAGGCCCCUGCAAUGAAGGAGAAGCUAACUCACGCACCUGAAGCAGGCACAGUAAAGUGCAUCAGUCCCAUCUAUUAGUGUGCAGAGCAGAAACUGAGUAUUAUGUCUUUCACUGUUUUCCCUUUGCAUUUUUACUACAUGGUACAUGAAUAGAAACGUCUUCCCAUCAGCAAAAGAGAAACCGAAAGUGGCAGAGAGAAAAAGUAAGAAUGAGUUGACUUAUGCUUCGAGUGGACUUUUGAGGUUUUUGUUUGGAAACAAACAGGUUAACACUUCAAGAGAAGUUACAGGUAGUUGCGAGCAGAUACCCAUUUACUUCCAGUCACGGCGCUAAUGUUGGUUAGCAUUGGCUGGCGAACUUCCUUCAUUCUGGACACAGAGACAUAAGAAUGGUACCCACUAAUUCGUCUGACUCUGGGGAAGUUGUCAAAAAUCCUGAAGUAUCCAUUUUUCAACAGCUGAAACACCUAAUGGUUAUGAAACCUACAGGAUGACCCCUAUUAGCAGAGUGGGAGCUUGGUUUUUUACACAAUAUAUAAUAAUAUGUCACUUGCAGAAAAUCCUUCAGAAGGAUGCUGCAACAUCUCUAAUACAUCCAGUUUUUCCUCCAGUUAUCUCUCGAUGUUAAUAAGAUUGUGCUAUUCCAUUUCCUCUGUUGGUGAAUACCGUCAUCGCGUGCUCAACCCUCCAUCACAUUACUAUGGCAACCCUUCCCCGAGGCCCACAACAUGGAUGAGUUUAUUUCCUCUCUGAAUUAUUGUAUUGGCUAAACAAGUAUGAACAACCUCGGAAAUGCAGCAUACCGAAUAUCUGAAUACAUGUUCUGCGGAGCAUGGAGCGAUCAGGUCAUGUAUGUAGGUUUGAGUCUCUCAUACAGGCAUCCUGAUUGUCUCCACACUCUCCUGAGCAGUUAAAUGUAGGGUUCAAAUGUUUACCUGUUUUGUCUACCCUCGGCAUAUGUUCUGCUCCUUCCACCCAAUGCCUAAUUUCCUCCCUGUAUCUAGACCAUUACCAUAGGAUCCCUCUCUGAAUUACCUCCCUGUAUACUGCCUGCGGUUUGUCUGCAUGGUAUAGCAAAGUGCCGAUUUACUGACCUGGGUAAUGGGUUUGGAAGAACUUCACUCCAGAUGUACAGUAAUUCCCUUCAAGGACUUGAACUCUAAAAUCAAACACAAACAGUGGGACAUCUGUGAAAACAAAACAAACAUGGUUAACUCUAUAUGGCUUUGCUGUGUUUUGACUACAUUGAUGAUAGGCAUACAGUAGGGUGAAACCGGGUGUCAUCUGGGUAUUACAUAUCCUUUUGCAUAACUGAUGAAUCUAUUUUCAUUAGAAUGAAGGAAGUGAUUUCAAUGGUUUUUAACUCCCUUGUCUAAUUCCAAAGAAAGAACCUGGUAGCUUUGUGAGAUUCUCAAAAGCUUGCCUUUAACCCUAUAAAAAACACUAUUCCGUGCGAUUUACCCUGGCUUUACCCUGAGGCUGUUUACACCAGCCAAAGAUUAAUUUAAAAAGUCCCCUUUGCAUUGUUUUAUAGAGCUUUGUGCUGAAACGUAUCUUGUAAAGGGUCGCAUGUUGGUGUUGUUGUAGAAUGUUGUGUAGGCAAAACAGGUAGCUAAUGAAGGAACAUUUUAUCUGUGGUGUUUCUUAGAUUGGAUGCUUAUUGUGGUCAAAACCCAGACUCCUGUUGUAUGUCUUGCUGCACUGCAGGCAAUCCAUUGUACAGCACUGAACCCGAUUUAUACGUUCCCACACAAGGUUAGGGAAAGAGUAUGCGUAGAGUAUGUGUAAUGUAACAUCUUCAAACAGUUUUUUUUAUAAAAGACGGGAAUCUCUUUGGAUUUGUGAUAUAGAUGGACCCGAUGACUGCGAAGACCGGCAUGUUUCUACUGUUUGACAUUUUCACAGCUAGAUUAGAAUGCAUGUGUUUGAUUAGAAUGCAUGUCACUCAUAUACAUCUUUCCUCCUUGCAUAAGAAGAAGACAAGGUGAAGGAUGUGAAGACAUCAGGCUGCAAAGCUAAAGCCACACACUCUGUGACGACGGCCCAGCCCACUAAACCACAUAAAGCUGAGAAGACUAAAAAGACUGAGAAGGCUGA